CCUAAAAUCCAAUAGAAUUUGAGACUACUAGUCUGCAACAACUAUUCAUAGGAUUUUUUUAUUAGUUAAUUUGAAUUAGUCGAUGAAUAACCAUCUGUUUUGGCUAUCUUAACGAACUUAAUCUAAUCUGAUGCUGAUUUUUUUACCGUUGCCCCUUCUCAAGCAAUAGACCAGUACCCUGCAAAUAAGUAGCCACAGGAGAGAGAGCGAGAGAGAGAGAGAGAGAGAGUUGGUUCUUUGAUAGAGAAAGAUACCCAAAUGGGCAUUCCUCUCCAUCAUUCCUCUGCUCCUAACACCAUCGACACUAGCUCUGAUAGCUACACAAGCACGACCAACACUGAUAGUUUCAAUGCUUGUAACAAUGGCAGCCAUUUGAGCUUACCCAACAAUUACAAUCCCAGUUACCUCUUCGUCUAUGGCUCCUCAAGACCUGACGCACCAGGGAGCUCCCUACCACUCUCUGGUUAUUCGAGCAGACGAGCAUGGCUUCUCGGUAGCCGACUCUACUCUUUCGUAAUAUUGGCUUUCAACUAAACAGAAAUCAUACUUCCGUGACCAAAGGAUUUGCUUAAAGCCUCAGUUGGUUAUCACUGCAGCAACAAAGUAUUCUUAAGGCAGGAGGCAUCUACCGAGCAGCUGUUAAACUCGAUGAAUCCGGUAAUGCCGUGACUGGAUAUGCAGUUUCUGCUGAUAAUUCUUUGGGCAUUGCGAUGCUGUUGGAUGAAUAUGAGAGAAGAGAAUUCUCUCCAGAGUUUUAUCAGAAGAAUAUAGUGCAGGUUAUUACGGAUAGAGGAGAGCGGCUUUCAUCAUAUAUAUAUCAUAGAACAGAUUUGAACCCAAAUAACAUUAUCUCAUCUGGUGAUUGGUUCCUUCAGUAAUGACAAGAAAUGGUGGCACAUGAUGGUUCUUUGGAAAUUGUUGCAUGUACAUAUAGGUAUUUCUUUUUGUUCUUCUCAUGGUCAUUUAUGUAUAGAAGGGCUGAUUGGGGUGAAUAUUCUCGAUCGUGUAUAAUAUGGGCAGGCCUGGAUGAAGCGAACUCCUUCCAUAUGUUUGGCAGCAGCUCACUUAACUUUAUUUUACAUUAUUUGUUGUCCAUGGAAGAUGAAAAUAAAGAGAAGUGGUUUGUGUGCUUAUUUGUAAAAACCUAGCAUAAGUUCAGAAACAAAUUUGUAUGUUGGUUGAAGGCUGAGUGGUAAGUAAUGAAUGUGGGUGAUUGUGAUCGAGUAUGUAAGUUAUGAUCUCCAGCCUCAUUCCUAUAAUUCUGAAAUAUGUUGCUAUAAAAGUA